AUUGAACGCUGGCGGCAUGCCUUACACAUGCAAGUCGAACGGCAGCAUAGGAGCUUGCUCCUGAUGGCGAGUGGCAAACGGGUGAGUAAUAUAUCGGAACGUGCCCUAGAGUGGGGGAUAACUAGUCGAAAGACUAGCUAAUACCGCAUACGAUCUACGGAUGAAAGUGGGGGAUCGCAAGACCUCAUGCUCCUGGAGCGGCCGAUAUCUGAUUAGCUAGUUGGUGGGGUAAAAGCCUACCAAGGCAACGAUCAGUAGCUGGUCUGAGAGGACGACCAGCCACUCUGGGACUGAGACACCGCCCAGACUCCUACGGGAGGCAGCAGUGGGGAAUUUUGGACAAUGGGGGCAACCCUGAUCCAGCAAUGCCGCGUGAGUGAAGAAGGCCUUCGGGUUGUAAAGCUCUUUUGUCAGGGAAGAAACGGUAGUAGCGAAUAACUAUUACUAAUGACGGUACCUGAAGAAUAAGCACCGGCUAACUACGUGCCAGCCGCCGCAGUAA
rnacentral:rRNA from 1 species